rnacentral:rRNA from 1 species
UACGUAGGGUCCAAGCGUUGUCCGGAUUUAUUGGGCGUAAAGAGCUCGUAGGCGGUUUGUUGCGUCGGCUGUGAAAACCUGAGGCUCAACCUCAGGCCUGCAGUCGAUACGAGCAGACUAGAGUGUUGCAGGGGAGACUGGAAUUCCUGGUGUAGCGGUGAAAUGCGCAGAUAUCAGGAGGAACACCGGUGGCGAAGGCGGGUCUCUGGGCAACAACUGACGCUGAGGAGCGAAAGCGUGGGGAGCGAACAGG